GAUGAACGCUGACAGAAUGCUUAACACAUGCAAGUCUACUUGAACUUCGGUUUGGGUGGCGGACGGGUGAGUAACGCGUAAAGAACUUGCCUCACAGUUAGGGACAACAUUUGGAAACGAAUGCUAAUACCUGAUAUUAUGAUUUUAGGGCAUCCUAAAAUUAUGAAAGCUAUAUGCGCUGUGAGAGAGCUUUGCGUCCCAUUAGCCAGUUGGAGAGGUAACGGCUCACCAAGGCGAUGAUGGGUAGCCGGCCUGAGAGGGUGAACGGCCACAAGGGGACUGAGACACGGCCCUUACUCCUACGGGAGGCAGCAGUGGGGAAUAUUGGACAAUGGACCAAAAGUCUGAUCCAGCAAUUCUGUGUGCACGAUGACGUUUUUCGGAAUGUAAAGUGCUUUCAGUUGGGAAGAAAAAAAUGACGGUACCAACAGAAGAAGUGACGGCUAAAUACGUG
rnacentral:rRNA from 1 species